AAACAAGUUGCCGAUUCCAUUUUUCCAAAUCUCCGCACUCCAGAGAGUUGGAUUCUGGGCAUCUCACAGAUUCUCUUUUGGCAGUCUUCUUGGAACUCUUUAUUACUUUCUUUCUACACGAAUUAUUGUUGCAAUUUACUGUUCUCAAAUUUUUAACUUGCCUGAAUUUGGUUAUAAGUUAAACCCAUUUCACGUUUUUGAGAAUCAUAUGUGGGUUUUCCUUUUUGCUGUCAUCCAUGUACUGAUUAACAUUUUACACUGAAAGUGGGCAAUUGUGCUGUUCUCUUUCUAGCCAUAAUUGAAUUAAUGUAGCUGCUUUUGAUAUUGGCAGAUAGUAUUCUAUGUUUUGCUUCUUUUGAAAAAAUAUAUAAGUUUUUGUUGUUAAAUAAGAAGUCACAGAAGAUGAGUGUGCCUGCAAAUUUAAUAGGAUUCCCUUCUUCUGAUUACUCGUGUGAUACAAUUAUGCCAAUUCCAUUUUUAUGUUCACUUUAAUCCUGAUUGCUGAUAAGGUAUCAUUUUCCCCUACGUAUGAUAAUGUGAGCUGAUGAAUUAAUGAUUCUUCUCUUUUGAAUGCAUAAUAGUAUCACUAUGUGACUCUGCGUGUCGGUGCAAGGCAUGUAGAUUUAAGUUUUCCUUACACAUCCAUGGAUAGAGAAAUUUUCUAGUGUUGUUAUUUUGUUAAGACAGUCAAGGAGAACGUUUUGAUAAUAAAUUUGAUCUUUUCUGCUGAAAUUACUAGUGUUGCUGGUUGGGAUACGCGUUGUCAAUUCAUCCAUGACCAAAGCAAUAGGGUAUGGGCUCAAGGCAGAUUCUUGUGGAGUCCAACUGUGAUUUUACUAAAUUGGAAAAUCAAUUUUGGGUUAUGUAUAAGUUGAUAAAGGGGUGAAUUGUAUAAGAUUUUAUUCUAAUCUCUUUUAAUUCUCUGAUACUCAUAUACCUGGUUUGAAUGUUGAAUUGGUAACUUUAGUUACAAUGCAUGCCUGGUAGAUACAUUACCUGCAAGUUUGUCAAAUGAGCUUGCAGAAACUGAUAUUCUAAUGAUUUCCACAUCAGCUUGAAAAGUGAGCAAAAGCUAGAAAAGUUUUCUUGCUUGAGUGGUUUCAAUUAAAAAUGAUGGUCUCAUGUAUUUUUGGCCAUCCAGCAUUAGAAAAAGAAUAUUCUUUUUAUCUAUUUCUUUUUUGGUUCACGGGCAAUCCUUACUGCAUACAUUUUCGAAGUGGAAAAGUGCAGUAGUGCACUUAACCUUUUCUAUUGAUGGCCACUGUUAUUCUUUCUCUGCCUCACUUUUUAAUAUUUGACCUUUUCUUCUCUUUCCACUUCAAUGUUAAAAGGGGUAUGAUUAUUGAUUGAGAACCCAUAGAGAUGCUGCAGGAUAGAUGAAAUAGGCAGGUGCUUCAAGCGCAUUUCAUGAUCACAAGUACUUAGGAGGAAAUAUAAAGAUGCUCAACAUAUGACUGGGCAGAAUUCUGCAUUUGAUACUUUGAGGACCCCAGGAUCAGUGAGGAGUUCAUAGAAAGACACUUCCUUUACUUAUCAUGUUUGGUGUAAUUAGAAUCUUCAGCCAGAACACUUUAGUGGAGAAAAAGAAGUGCGCAUAUACAGAUGAUGGUACAGAAAUUGUCAUCUCUGGCAAAAAGAGCAAAUGUUAAGUGGUAGGGCAUUGGUUUAUCCAAAAGCUCGAAAGCUUCAUGAACCUCCAAUAAUUACAGCAAACUAGAAGCUAUUGGACUUAGAAUGAUGGGACGACGCGAUAUCCAGCUUCUGCCAUUAUUGUUGUGGAGAACAACUGAUCCACUUCAACUUCAACAUCUGUUCUCUUUGCAAAUCGGCCUUUGAUCCUGGGUCUGGUCUCUGCAUAUGCCUUCCUUGAAGCAUACCUGAUUGUCUUCUCAAAUUUCCUUGUCUUCUUUUUCUCUCUGUAUCUUAGCACCCUUGCCUCCCUAUCCCUUGGACUAAGUUGGGAUGGCAUCUGCAUGGGAGGACUGGAGAAAAGGUCGAUAGUCCCUUUUGGAGGUCGGGGGUGUGAGAUCGAUGCGUCACUCAUCGUUGAAUCAGGCACCACUCCGACAUCUAUUGAUGAAAUGGAGACCUAAUUACAUAAACAAAACAAAUGUUUAGAAUGAGAUCAGAAUCAAAUGCAGUUUUCAGGAAUUAUUUGUAACAUUUCUAAUUGUUGUCCUUGAGAUCACAUGCUAUAUGCAAAUCGAACAGUAAUGAGAAAUGAAUCUGGCAUUCCAGAUACCUUUGCAAACUCAAGAAACACAGUUUCUGUCUCUUCUCUUUCAUCAAUGUUCUAAUAAUCAGCCAAAUGGAACAGUACUAAUUCAUACAAGUCUCCUGAAAACAUCUAGUUGGUGAUCCAUAAUUUGGAAGUUGCCUUAUUUAGAAGCUAAACCUUCAUCUAUUAUAAUCUUAAUCAAAGGGAAAAGAUAAAUAGAAUCCAAAUCCAUUUAGUAUAUAGUGUAGAAUCAAAAUGCAAAAUAAUGACUUGGAAGAAAAGGGGAAAAGAAAGAAAAGUGCUUGAACAAUUGUGCCAUCAGAUUCCACUCUUUUAGAGCAGAAAGGUAAAGGAAAGGGGAAAAGAGCUAUUCUAAAGUGCAGAAAAAUAUCACAAAAAUAUACCCUUAGGAUUUUUUGUUUUUUAUUUUUAAUUUUUUUGAGUAGUACCCUUAGGAAUUUUUAUUUAAACAUGGAGCACCAAAAAGUAGAAUAUGAUCCUUGUAGCCCUGAAAUUGCGACAUGCACAACCAAAUAACACGCAUUUAACUAUAGCUAGCUACAAUUAAUCAUGAUAUAUUUAACGGAGAUUAUCACUAAUUAAUUAAUUAACAGAGCUCAAAUCAUACAUCCAGACAUGUAUAUAUAAAGAGCUCUCACAAUAGAGACCUUAAUCAUGUGGUUUCAGCCCCAUGAAUUAAUGACGCAUAUAUAUAAAUUAAGAAAAGAAAUUAGAACUUACACUAUGACUAAUUGAUCCAUUGUAGCUGUAAGCAGCUUUUGAUGAGGACUCAAACUCCAACCCCAAGUGGAAAUUAUGGUAUUUUUGAUGCAGCUGAUCUUUUCCUGCUGCUUCUGCACACUGAACGGGCACAACACUGUCACCUCCAUAGCAGCUCUUCUGAUGAGGAACACUGUAGUGCUGGAGAUUGUUUUGAUCAGAAUACUUAUUCUGGUCACCACACGAAUUGGAAUUAUACUCCACAAGAUCCAAAUACUCAUCCACCUCUCCACCACCAAACAAGAACCCAUUAUUGUUCUCCCCGUUGCUAUUCUUCGCGGGAUUUAGCAGCAGCCAUGAAACUGCUUCAUCAUCCUCAUCACCAACUCCUUCUUCUCCCUCCUGGGUCAUGAACAUAUCUUCAGUGGUCUCACCAGUAGCUGGCCCUACUUGGGGACCGUACAGGCAGCCAGAAAUCGGCAGGAUUGGGACACGUUGGUGGCGACGAGCCAAUGGGUUCGCCGAAUGGAUAUCUGCAUCGCAGGCAGUGCAGAGAGACGCUGCGUCUGCCUUGCAUAGAAAGGCAGCUGGAGCACGCUCACACGCCUCACACACCCACACACGCUCAUGCCGGGAUGCUACCCGGUUCGCAGCAUGUACGCGAGCAUCGCAUCCAGCGCAGAGGUAGGCUGAGUCUGCCCGGCAGUACACAGUGCAAGCGGCCGCAAGACAAGUGUCACACACGCGUGCCCAGUUGUUACUAGAGCAGCCACCACCGUCACCGGGGCUCUCGUUCUUCAACAUGACUUGGUACUACUCGUGAAAUAGUAGAGUGAAAUGGUAAUGGCUAAAGAAUGAAAGCAGAGAGCACCGAGCAGUAGCGAGAGGAAGGCUGGGGGUGUAACUGUUAACGCAACGCAAGUGGGGAGGGGAGAAUCCAUCACUUGACACGCGACGUAUAAUUAGUGGUUCAGAAAAGUUGUUGCAUUAUCCUGUGGUUGUAUGCGUUUUGAGGUGGGCCCCAGUCUUGUCUGAGUUGGCACCUGUGCUUUUAAUGUAAGACGAGUAAUGGGAGUUAAUGUCUCGAGUAGAGAGGAGGAGGUUGUACUCGCUCUAUUUUGAAGACACAUUUUAUCCGAAAAGGGUAUUUUGAAUAAAUAAAUAAUUUAUAUAAAAUAACAAGUUAAUUAAAA
rnacentral:misc_RNA from 1 species